CCUACGGGUGGCAGCAGUCGAGAAUCAUUCACAAUGGGGGAAACCCUGAUGGUGCGACGCCGCGUGGGGGAAUGAAGGUCUUCGGAUUGUAAACCCCUGUCAUGUGGGAGCAAAUUAAAAAGAUAGUACCCCAAGAGGAAGAGACGGCUAACUCUGUGCCAGCAGCCGCGGUAAUACAGAGGUCUCAAGCGUUGUUCGGACUCACUGGGCGUAAAGCGUGCGUGGGCUGUUUUGUAAGUCGUGUGUGAACGGGGCGGGCGAAACCCGCAGAAGGACUAUCAUACUGAGAGGCAGAAGUGAUUAAGAGGAAAGCGGAAUUCUCGGUGUAGCAGUGAAAUGCGUAGAUAUCUGGAGGAACACUAGUGGCGAAGGCGAGUUUCUGGACAGUAACUGACGCUGAGGCACGAAGGCGAGGGGAGCGAAAGGGAUUAGAUACCCGAGUAGUC
rnacentral:rRNA from 1 species